CAGCGAGGAAAUCUUCGUCAGUAACGCUAUAUGUAUGCCGGUUUAUUCCCCUGGUUUGCUUUCAGCACUGCUGUAUUUUCUUUCUUACUUUUGUCUUAGAUGUUCUAGUGUGUUCUUUAUCUUGCAACGAGUGGCAAUAGUCCAGCCAGGAUGUUUCCCCUGUAAUCAGUAAAAUGGGUGAAGUGCUCUUCUUCUUGAUGCAAAUGUAUUGCUUGACCUUGAUGCAACUUCGGAAAUGCGUUUGCUCUUCCGUCACAAUAGCCGGUUGCCCAAGUCGACAGUCUCAGAUCGCUUACAGUUACAAGCUAAAUUAUCUGGUAUGAUGGCUUGGAUGUUAGCCUAUUCCAAUCUGCAAGACGUUCAUUUGUUUCUGUUUUGUUAUGGCUUGGAUGUUAGCCUAUUCCAAUCUGCAAGACGUUCAUUUGUUUCUGUUUUGUUAUGGCUUGGUAGUGCAACCCGGUCCAUUUUUGGUGAUCAAAUGGAAAAAAUGUGUUCAUUUGUGUUAGGAAUGUUAGAUUUACACUUCAUGCUUGGUAUUGGUAGAGUCAAUGUUCAAGCUACAUUACAACAUGACUCGUGCUCACUGAAAUCUCAUCAUGUGGAUCAGUAGUAAAAAAAUACAUAGUAUAGUCAAUUUUCUUGGUAAAU
rnacentral:lncRNA from 1 species